CGCGUCCGCCACGUGGACGCCGGUGCCCAUCCAAGCGGACUCCCGGUUACCCUGACGCCGUGCGGCAUCUCCGCCUGUCAGGAAAAGAGCCGCAUAGCCGACAGCCGUCGCAUCUAGGGAGCCCUUUCAUG
rnacentral:sRNA from 1 species